AGGACGAACGCUGGCGGCGUGCUUAACACAUGCAAGUCGAGCGGUAAGGCCUUUCGGGGUACACGAGCGGCGAACGGGUGAGUAACACGUGGGUGAUCUGCCCUGCACUUCGGGAUAAGCCUGGGAAACUGGGUCUAAUACCGGAUAUGACCUCAGGUUGCAUGACUUGGGGUGGAAAGAUUUAUCGGUGCAGGAUGGGCCCGCGGCCUAUCAGCUUGUUGGUGGGGUAAUGGCCUACCAAGGCGACGACGGGUAGCCGACCUGAGAGGGUGACCGGCCACACUGGGACUGAGACACGGCCCAGACUCCUACGGGAGGCAGCAGUGGGGAAUAUUGCACAAUGGGCGAAAGCCUGAUGCAGCGACGCCGCGUGAGGAUGACGGCCUCGGGUUGUAAACCUCUUUCUAGCGGGACGAAGCGCAAGUGACGGUACCUGCAGAAGAAGCACGCUAACUACGUGCCAGCAGCCGC
rnacentral:rRNA from 1 species